rnacentral:rRNA from 1 species
UACGUAGGGGGCUAGCGUUGUCCGGAAUCAUUGGGCGUAAAGAGCGUGUAGGCGGUCCGGUAAGUCCGCUGUGAAAGUCGGGGGCUCAACCCUCGAAUGCCGGUGGAUACUGUCGGGCUAGAGUGCGGAAGAGGCGAGUGGAAUUCCUGGCGUAGCGGUGAAAUGCGCAGAUAUCAGGAGGAACACCUAUUGCGAAGGCAGCUCGCUGGGACGUAACUGACGCUGAGACGCGAAAGCGUGGGGAGCAAACAGG